rnacentral:rRNA from 1 species
GAUGAACGCUGGCGGCGUGCCUAAUACAUGCAAGUCGAGCGAACAGACGAGGAGCUUGCUCCUCUGACGUUAGCGGCGGACGGGUGAGUAACACGUGGAUGACCUACCUAUAAGACUGGGAUAACUUCGUGAAACCGGAGCUAAUACCGGAUAAUAUAUUGAACCGCAUGGUUCAAUAGUGAAAUACGGUUUUUCUGUCACUUAUAGAUGGAUCCGCGCCGCAUUAGCUAGUUGGUAAGGUAACGGCUUACCAAGGCAACGAUGCGUAGCCGACCUGAGAGGGGGAUCGGCCACACUGGAACUGAGACACGGACCAGACUCCUACGGGAGGCAGCAGUAGGGAAUAUUCCGCAAUGGGCGAAAGCAUGACGGAGCAACGCCGCGUGAGUGAUGAAGGUCUUCGGAUCGUAAAACUCUGUUAUUAGGGAAGAAAAAAUGUGUAAGUAACUAUGCACGUAUUGACGGUAACUAAUAAGAAAGCAACGGCUAACUACGUG